CCUACGGGUGGCUGCAGUGAGGAAUAUUGGUCAAUGGGCGCGAGUCUGAACCAGCCAAGUAGCGUGAAGGAUGACUGCCCUACGGGUUGUAAACUUCUUUUAUAAAGGAAUAAAAUGAGGCACGUGUGCCUUUUUGUAUAUACUUUAUCAGUAAGAAUCGGCUAACACCGUGCCAGCAGCCGCGGUAAUACGGAGGAUGCGCGCGUUAUCCGGAUUUAUUGGGUUUAAAGGGAGCGUAGAGGGGCUGUUAAGUCAGCUGUGAAAGUUUGCGGCUCAACCGUAGAAUUGCAGUUGAUACUGGAAGUCUUGAGUACAGUUGAGGUAGGCGGAAUUCGUGGUGUAGCGGUGAAAUGCUUAGAUAUCAUGAAGAACUCCGAUUGCGAAGGCAGGUGACCAAGGUACCACUGACACUGAGGCUCGAAAGUGUGGGUAUCAAACAGGAUUAGAUACCCCUGUAGUC
rnacentral:rRNA from 1 species